CCCUGCAUUCGAAAGUGAUUUUGGUAUUUUCUGUUACCUGAUCAUUGAUACUGCAGGGAAAUAAAGCUGAAUGCUUUUCCCGUGUUUGAAAGGAGCUUCCUAUUCCUUUUAAACCCUGUAACUUUCAAACA